rnacentral:pre_miRNA from 1 species
AACAUGUAUGCCCUGGUUACUUGUUGCUCUACAUGUGACCUCAACAUACAUGUUC